rnacentral:rRNA from 1 species
GAUGAACGCUGGCGGCGUGCUUAAUACAUGCAAGUCGAACGGUGAACCAGGAGCUUGCUCUUGGGGAUCAGUGGCGAACGGGUGAGUAACACGUGAGCAACCUGCCCCUGACUCUGGGAUAAGCGCUGGAAACGGCGUCUAAUACUGGAUACGAACAGCGACCGCAUGGUCAGUUGUUGGAAAGAUUUAUUGGUUGGGGAUGGGCUCGCGGCCUAUCAGCUUGUUGGUGAGGUAAUGGCUCACCAAGGCGUCGACGGGUAGCCGGCCUGAGAGGGUGACCGGCCACACUGGGACUGAGACACGGCCCAGACUCCUACGGGAGGCAGCAGUGGGGAAUAUUGCACAAUGGGCGCAAGCCUGAUGCAGCAACGCCGCGUGAGGGAUGACGGCCUUCGGGUUGUAAACCUCUUUUAGCAGGGAAGAAGCGAGAGUGACGGUA